rnacentral:rRNA from 1 species
CCUACGGGAGGCAGCAGUAGGGAAUAUUGCUCAAUGGGGGAAACCCUGAAGCAGCAACGCCGCGUGGAGGAUGAAGGUUUUCGGAUUGUAAACUCCUUUUGUUAGAGAAGAUAAUGACGGUAUCUAACGAAUAAGCACCGGCUAACUCCGUGCCAGCAGCCGCGGUAAUACGGAGGGUGCAAGCGUUACUCGGAAUCACUGGGCGUAAAGAGCGCGUAGGCGGGAUAGCAAGUCAGAUGUGAAAUCCUAUGGCUUAACCAUAGAACUGCAUUUGAAACUGUUAUUCUAGAGUAUGGGAGAGGUAGGUGGAAUACUUGGUGUAGAGGUAAAAUGCGUAGAGAUCAAGAGGAAUACUCAUUGCGAAGGCGACCUGCUAGAACAUAACUGACGCUGAUGCGCGAAAGCGUGGGGAGCAAACAGGAUUAGAUACCCCUGUAGUC